rnacentral:rRNA from 1 species
AGCGUAUACGGUGGAUGCCUUGGCAACUGGAGGCGAUGAAAGACGUGGCAGCCUGCGAAAAGGCUCGGCGAGGUGGCAACAACCUUUGACCCGGGCAUAUCUGAAUGGGGAAACCCACCUAGUGAGAGCUAGGUAUCUUACACUGAAUACAUAGGUGUAAGAGGCGAACCGGGGGAACUGAAACAUCUAAGUACCCCGAGGAAAAGAAAUCAAACGAGAUUCCCUGAGUAGUGGCGAGCGAAAGGGGACUAGCCCUGAAGUCUGUGAAUGAGUAGGAGAACGACCUGGAAAGGUUGGCCGUAGUGGGUGAUAGCCCCGUAUCCGAAAUUCUGAUCAGAUGAGCACGAGUAGGACGGGACACGAGAAAUCCUGUCUGAAUAUGGGGGGACCAUCCUCCAAGGCUAAAUACUCCCAGUUGACCGAUAGUGAACCAGUACCGUGAGGGAAAGGCGAAAAGAACCCCUGUGAGGGGAGUGAAAUAGAACCUGAAACCGUAUACGUACAAGCAGUGGGAGCAGACUUGUUCUGUGACUGCGUACCUUUUGUAUAAUGGGUCAGCGACUUACAUUCAGUGGCAAGCUUAACCGAGUAGGGGAGGCGUAGGGAAACCGAGUCUUAAUAGGGCGUUUUAGUCGCUGGGUGUAGACCCGAAACCGAGUGAUCUAUCCAUGGGCAGGUUGAAGGUUGAGUAACAUCAACUGGAGGACCGAACCCACUGUCGUUGAAAAGCCAGGGGAUGACCUGUGGAUAGGAGUGAAAGGCUAAUCAAACUCGGAGAUAGCUGGUUCUCCUCGAAAGCUAUUUAGGUAGCGCCUCGUGUAUGACCACCGGGGGUAGAGCACUGUUUCGGCUAGGGGCCCAUCCCGGGUUACCAAACCGAUGCAAACUCCGAAUACCGGUGAGUAUGAGCACGGGAGACACACGGCGGGUGCUAACGUCCGUCGUGAAAAGGGAAACAACCCAGACCGCCAGCUAAGGUCCCCAAUACCAGUUAAGUGGGAAACGAUGUGGGAAGGCAUAGACAGCUAGGAGGUUGGCUUAGAAGCAGCCAUCCUUUAAAGAAAGCGUAAUAGCUCACUAGUCGAGUCGGCCUGCGCGGAAGAUAUAACGGGGCUCAAACUAGACACCGAAGCUGCGGAAUGUAGAUUUAUCUACAUUGGUAGAGGAGCGUUCUGUAAGCCGUUGAAGGUGGAUUGAGAAGUCUGCUGGAGGUAUCAGAAGUGCGAAUGCUGACAUAAGUAACGAUAAUGCGAGUGAAAAACUCGCACGCCGGAAGACCAAGGGUUCCUGUCCAACGUUAAUCGGGGCAGGGUGAGUCGACCCCUAAGGCGAGGCUGAAGAGCGUAGUCGAUGGGAAACGGGUUAAUAUUCCCGUACUUGCACUAACUGCGAUGGAGAGACGGAGAAGGCUAGGCCAUCCGGGCGUUGGUUGUCCCGGUUCAAGGGUGUAGGCUGAAAACUUAGGUAAAUCCGGGUUUUCGUUAAGGCUGAGACCUGAUGAGGGUGACUCUACGGAGUCCGAAGUGGUUGAUGCCAUGCUUCCAGGAAAAUCUUCUAAGCUUCAGGUUAGUGUGAAUCGUACCCCAAACCGACACAGGUGGUCGGGUAGAGAAUACCAAGGCGCUUGAGAGAACUCGGGUGAAGGAACUAGGCAAAAUGGUGCCGUAACUUCGGGAGAAGGCACGCUGUUGUUGGUGAUCGGACUUGCUCCGUAAGCUGACGACAGUCGAAGAUACCAGUUAGCUGCGACUGUUUAUUAAAAACACAGCACUCUGCAAACUCGAAAGAGGACGUAUAGGGUGUGACACCUGCCCGGUGCCGGAAGGUUAAUUGAUGGGGUUAGCGCAAGCGAAGCUCUUGAUCGAAGCCCCGGUAAACGGCGGCCGUAACUAUAACGGUCCUAAGGUAGCGAAAUUCCUUGUCGGGUAAGUUCCGACCUGCACGAAUGGUGUAACGAUGGCUAAGCUGUCUCCACCCGAGACUCAGUGAAAUUGAAAUCGCUGUUAAGAUGCAGUGUAUCCGCGGCUAGACGGAAAGACCCCGUGAACCUUUACUACAGCUUCACACUGGACUUUGAUAUUGCUUGUGUAGGAUAGCUGGGAGGCUUUGAAGCGUGGACGCCAGUUCAUGUGGAGCCAACCUUGAAAUACCAGCCUGGCAAUAUUGAGGUUCUAACGCAGGUCCCUUAUCGGGAUCGCGGACCGUGUGUGGUGGGUAGUUUGACUGGGGCGGUCUCCUCCCAAAGAGUAACGGAGGAGCACGA